rnacentral:lncRNA from 1 species
UCUCUUUGAAGCUUUAAAAAAAAAAUUUUCUCGUUGAGGAAUAAACUAUGAAGAGGGCUUCUAUUAUUUCCCUGUGGGUGAAACUGACAGAGGCAAUGGUUCACUAACUUUCCCUGGUGUUGCAUCGUUUGCAGCAAGUAAGGUGCAGCCCAUGGUGUCUGAAGUGGAGGUGCUUUCCGGGCAGGAAGUGGACACAUGAUAUGGCUCCUUAAGCGAGACUGUCCUAGACACCUAAUCUAAAGCAAAUAAUGUUUCAGUAUCCUCAGGUAGAGAGCCUACAUUCCUAAAAGCUUUCUUGGGCAAGAAAGGGGUCAGCAAAAAUAGCCAAAAUAAAGCAGCAAACCAGAUAAGACUAUCUCAUGACAGACCUAAGAACUGCUUGGCAGCGAUAGUCAAUCUCGGGAAAUGUUUGGUGAACACAGGCACCUUAAAAGGAAGCAGGGGUGCUCCUGAGGGUAUUGGUCUCAUGGAAACAAAAUAUUGAUCAGGGAGGGCCAUAGUUGUGAUUUCCACCCACAAUCAAGCAUGACAAUAACAAAGGAAGGAGACAAAAGCCCACGGCCGGCCUCAAUGUCAUGGUGCCAUUGAGACAAGAUUGUGGACAUUUGCCAAUGGUUUUCGGUCUUCACCCUUUCCUGAGCUAUAGCUGCUAGCCAUUUUUCAGGAUAAGGAAGCAGAGAUCACAAAGGUCAGUACCAUAAGUCAGUAUGACUGAGGGUGAACUGAGAAGUGUUAUCUCCCUCCCCAUCCUUUUCCUGCUGUCUCAGUUUCUGCCUCUGUUUUGCGAGUCCAGUGCAGUUGGUUCAAAUGAAUGAUUCUGGGCAUGCAGUCAACAUUUGUGUGUAACUCCGCCCUAGAUUUCUAGUGGAGCGGCAGAGCUACUUAGUGGUCGAAUAGGGACCCUCCUCUUUUAGACCGUAUGAUUUCAUUGUCCGCUCAGUUCCAGGCAGAGAACCUGGGGCGUGGUUAGUGGGGAAGAAGAUAUUGCUAAGAGGAGAUCAACUCUACCAACCCUGGUACAGCUGAUGAGACCAACAUCUCAGACAGUUGUUAUUCAUAUCCGUGAUCUAACAUUGACCUGUUGUGCCUCCAGUGAAAAGCGUUUUGCUUGUUGUCUGGGACCCCAUGAAGAAACCUAAUCUGAGAGUAACACUGCGUGUGAAGUGUAAAGUCAAUUUACAGCAAAUAUGAUUAAUAUGCUCCCCUACCCUUGCCUGCUCCAAAAUUAUUCUUCCAGGAAAUCUCAUUAAUGGUUGAAAAAAAAAGAUUCUCUUUUAUUUCUAACCAAAUGUAUUGUGCCACCUGCUUUACAGCCCCUUUAUCUUGCUGAAGGUCUCAAAUCAUGACCUGAAGAACAACAACAUUUUAUUAGUAAAGCUUUUUAUACACAUUCUUAAUUUACUUUAAAAAUGAAUAAGCCAUUAAAAACCAGACCAGUGUACUGAAAAAAUAAAUCAGCCAUCAGCACCUUAGAGUUUCUAAUGUAAAGAUAAGAUUUUAAAAACCAAGUUACUUAAAAAUCUGAACAGAAAAUUCACACCUGCAGAUCAUCUUAGAAAUGUGCAAAAUGCAGACACAUUUUUAACAAAUAUAGAAAUAACAUCCACACAUUGGAAAUAG